rnacentral:snRNA from 1 species
GUGCUCACUUUGGUAGCACAUAUACUAAAAUUGGAACGAUACAGAGAAGAUUAGAAUGGCCCCUGAGCAAGGAUGACAUGCACAUUCGUGAAGCAUUCCAUAUUUUG